CACGUAGGCGGAUCGGAAAGUUGGGGUGAAAUCCCGGGGCUCAACCCGGAACGGCCUCAAACUACUGGUCUUGAGUUCGAGAGAGGUGAGUGGAAUUCCGAGUGUAGAGGUGAAAUUCGUAGAUAUUCGGAGGAACACCAGUGGCGAAGGCGGCUCACUGGCUCGAUACUGACGCUGAGGUGCGAAAGCGUGGGGAGCAAACA
rnacentral:rRNA from 1 species